AGUGUUCAAAAAAUUUAAAUACGCUGAUAAUUAAUUCCUCCAGUUUUUUUUACACACUGUGACUAGAAUUUAUAAAGUGUAAAAUUUCUCUUCAGUUUAAUUUCAAAGUUUUGUGUGUGCAAUAUUAUUACCCGUGAAUCGGGUCCGAGUUUAGGGCUGAGACGACAGCCAUAUCAUUGCGCACCACCCUGCGACUGCUGAGUGCUGUCCGUACGACCGACCAUCCCAGCGUAGUCAUUGACCGAAGACUGGUCGCGAUUAAGGGCAGUACCUCUUUGUCAGGAUUUAGAACACGGCAUAGGGCAGUAGGACUCAACCCUGUAUUUAUUUUCUUUAAAUAAAAUUAUUAUCUGUGGA